AGAGUUUGAUCAUGGCUCAGGAUGAACGCUGGCGGCGUGCCUAAUACAUGUAAGUCGAACGGACGAAUAGCAAUAUUUGUGAGUGGCGAACGGGUGAGUAGCGCGUGGGUGACCUGCCCCGAAGUGAGGGAUAACAGUUCGAAAGGGCUGCUAAUACCCCAUGUGGUUACGGGAGUUAGAGAACCGUAAGUAAAGGAGCAAUCCGCUUCGGGAGGGACCUGCGACCCAUCAGCUAGUUGGUAAGGUAACGGCCUACCAAGGCGACGACGGGUAGGGGGCCUGAGAGGGUGGCCCCCCACACUGGCACUGAAACACGGGCCAGACACCUACGGGUGGCAGCAGUAGGGAAUAUUGCACAAUGGGCACAAGCCUGAUGCAGCAGCGCCGCGUGCGCGAUGAAGGCCUUCGGGUCGUAAAGCGCUUUUCUGGAGGAGGAGGAAGGACCGUACUCCAGGAAUAAGUCUCGGCUAACUGCGUGCCAGCAGCCGCGGUAAUAC
rnacentral:rRNA from 1 species